AUUGAACGCUGGCGGAAUGCUUUACACAUGCAAGUCGAACGGCAGCACGGGGCAACCUGGUGGCGAGUGGCGAACGGGUGAGUAAUAUAUCGGAACGUGCCCAAUCGUGGGGGAUAACGUAGCGAAAGUUACGCUAAUACCGCAUACGAUCUACGGAUGAAAGCGGGGGAUCGCAAGACCUCGCGCGAAUGGAGCGGCCGAUAUCAGAUUAGGUAGUUGGUGGGGUAAAGGCUCACCAAGCCAACGAUCUGUAGCUGGUCUGAGAGGACGACCAGCCACACUGGAACUGAGACACGGUCCAGACUCCUACGGGAGGCAGCAGUGGGGAAUUUUGGACAAUGGGCGCAAGCCUGAUCCAGCCAUUCCGCGUGCAGGAUGAAGGCCU
rnacentral:rRNA from 1 species